GAUGGCUGCCGGAGCGGCAUUGUGGGAAAUGUAGUUCGUGACCAGGCCCCGCGUGGCCGCCCUGCACUCGGUGGAGCCGGCCAGAGAGCACACUUGUGUGGGGGCUUCCUUCCCCAGCCGGCCUGGCCACACCCUGAAAACAGCGCGUAUGGGGAGGAAACUCCGACUCUUAAGAACUGGGGAGUUUGGGAGCUGGGACUCAGGAUGAUGAAGGUGGUGAGCCCAGUCACAGGAGGAAAGCUGUGUGGACUUUGUUGACUCCCAGGCUUUGAUCUGCCCGUCCCCCUACAAACCUUCCAAUGUCAGGAAAUCACCUGAGCCCUGCAGAAAUCCAGCACCUUGAAUUGUCAGAUUCUUAGCAGGCGCUCUACAGUUUGAAAUAAAUGAGGGAAAGAAAG